rnacentral:rRNA from 1 species
UUCCGGUUGAUCCCGCCGGACCUCACUGCUAUCGGGGUGAGACUAAGCCAUGCAAGUCCAAGGCCCAUAGCCACCUGUAGGCCUGGCGUACGGCUCAGUAACACGUGGCCAACCUACCCUGAGGAGGCGGAUAACACCGGGAAACUGGUGCAUAAACCGCCAUAGGUGAGAUGCUCUGGAACGACGUCUCGCUGAAAAAUUUACACAGGGAUGCCUGUGUAGAUGCCUCAGGAUGGGGCUGCGGCCCAUCAGGCAGUUGGUGGGGCAACGGCCCACCAAGCCUAUAACGGGUACGGGCCCUGAGAGGGGGAGCCCGGAGAUGGACUAUGAGACAAGAGUCCAGGCCAUACGGGGCGCAGCAGGCGCGAAAACUCCGCAAUGCGCUAACGCGUGACGGGGUCACCCCGAGUGCCACCCUCGUGAUGGCUUUUGCGCAGUGUAAACAGCUGCGCGAAUAAGCGGGGGGCAAGACGGGUGUCAGCCGCCGCGGUAAUACCAGC